rnacentral:rRNA from 1 species
CUUGGUCAUUUAGAGGAAGUAAAAGUCGUAACAAGGUUUCCGUAGGUGAACCUGCGGAAGGAUCAUUACUGAUUUGCUUAAUUGCACCACAUGUGUUUUUCUUUGAAACAAACUUGCUUUGGCGGUGGGCCCAGCCUGCCGCCAGAGGUCUAAACUUACAACCAAUUUUUUAUCAACUUGUCACACCAGAUUAUUACUAAUAGUCAAAACUUUCAACAACGGAUCUCUUGGUUCUCGCAUCGAUGAAGAACGCAGCGAAAUGCGAUACGUAAUAUGAAUUGCAGAUAUUCGUGAAUCAUCGAAUCUUUGAACGCACAUUGCGCCCUCUGGUAUUCCGGAGGGCAUGCCUGUUUGAGCGUCGUUUCUCCCUCAAACCGCUGGGUUUGGUGUUGAGCAAUACGACUUGGGUUUGCUUGAAAGACGGUAGUGGUAAGGCGGGAUCGCUUUGACAAUGGCUUAGGUCUAACCAAAAACAUUGCUUGCGGCGGUAACGUCCACCACGUAUAUCUUCAAACUUUGACCUCAAAUCAGGUAGGACUACCCGCUGAACUUAAGCAUAUCAAUAAGCGGAGGAAAUCGA